UAGGGAAUCUUCGGCAAUGGGGGCAACCCUGACCGAGCAACGCCGCGUGAGUGAAGAAGGUUUUCGGAUCGUAAAGCUCUGUUUUAAGAGAAGAACGUGUGUGAGAGUGGAAAGUUCACACAGUGACGGUAACUUACCAGAAAGGGACGGCUAACUACGUGCCAGCAGCCGCGGUAAUACGGAGGUCCCGAGCGUUGUCCGGAUUUAUUGGGGGUAAAGCGAGCGCAGGCGGUUUAAUAAGUCUGAAGUUAAAGGCAGUGGCUUAACCAUUGUUCGCUUUGGAAACUGUUAAACUUGAGUGGAGAAGGGGAGAGUGGAAUUCCAUGUGUAGCGGUGAAAUGCGUAGAUAUAUGGAGGAACACCGGUGGCGAAAGCGGCUCUCUGGUCUGUAACUGACGCUGAGGCUCGAAAGCGUGGGGAGCAAACAGG
rnacentral:rRNA from 1 species